UCCAGGUUUGUUCUGGAAAACACUAGGUCUGAGAGACAGCAACAACAAAAGUAUACUCUACCAUUAAAGAAAUAAUGCCGUAUAUGUAGUAGCACUUUUCAAAGAAGGAAGAAAGGUGGGAGUCAUUUCCAGGGUAAUUUUGACAAGAGGAACUGUCAUUAUGAACAUGGUGGGUAUGAACUUCUGCCUUCACGCUGCCAGGAGAAUGAUGGAAGCAUGGAGAUGAGGGAUGUCCACAAGGACCGCCAACUAAGACACACUCCUUAUAGAAUCCAAUGCAACAGGAAGCUAGUGAAAUGACAUAGUGAAGAUCAAAUCCAUAUUACCAUUUGGAGAAAUAGAAAACCUCCAGAGAGAAAAAUGAGGCGGAACACACAAGAUGAAAACAUGAGGAAAUGGUUCAAGGUCACAAUUCCUUAUGGGAUAAAGUAUGACAAGGCAUGGCUAAUGAAUUCAAUCCAGAGCAAUUGCAGUGUCCCCUUCACUCCGGUUGAUUUCCACUACAUCCGAAAUCGGGCAUGCUUCUUUGUCCAGGUUGCUAGUGCUGCCUCUGCAUUGAAGGAUGUCAGUUAUAAGAUUUAUGAUGAUGAGAACCAAAAGAUAUGUAUAUUUGUCAGUCAUUUUACUGCGCCCUACUCUGUGAAGAAUAAGUUGAAGCCAGGCCAAAUGGAGAUGCUAAAGCUGACCAUGAACAAACGGUACAAUGUCUCCCAGCAAGCUCUUGAUCUCCAGAAUCUCCGCUUUGACCCAGACUUGAUGGGCCGUGACAUUGAUAUAAUCCUGAAUCGAAGAAACUGCAUGGCUGCCACCCUGAAGAUCACUGAAAGAAAUUUCCCUGAGCUGUUGUCUUUGAACUUGUGCAACAACAAACUGUACCAGCUGGAUGGCCUUUCUGACAUUACAGAGAAGGCUCCCAAAGUCAAGACCCUGAAUCUCUCCAAAAAUAAGCUGGAGUCGGCGUGGGAGUUGGGCAAGGUGAAAGGGCUGAAGCUCGAAGAGCUAUGGCUAGAAGGGAACCCGUUGUGCAGCACCUUCUCGGACCAGUCUGCCUAUGUAAGUGCCAUCCGGGAUUGUUUCCCCAAGUUGUUACGCCUGGACGGCCGAGAGUUAUCCGCACCAGUGAUUGUUGACAUUGACAGCUCUGAGACAAUGAAACCCUGCAAGGAAAACUUUACUGGAUCUGAGACCCUAAAGCAUUUAGUCCUGCAAUUCCUGCAGCAGAGCAACUUGUGCAAGUACUUCAAGGAUAGCAGGAAUAUAAAAAUUCUCAAAGACCCCUACCUGCAGAGGAAGCUGCUAAAGCACACAAAAUGUCCACGAAACGUGGACUCCCUCAGUGCAUUGCCUGAAACUCAGCAUGACUUCACCUCCAUCCUGGUGGACAUGUGGUACCAGACCGUGAACACCUGCUUCCUCCCUCGGGCAGGCCCAGAGAGCCAGAGUGGAAGGAUGGUCUCAGGGUUCUGAUCUUGCCUUCAUGUGGACCUUCAUCACUACCUCUGGCCGCAAUUCCAGUCUGUGCAUCAUGAAUGAUAAGCUGUUUCUGAGGGAUGCCAGCCCCCAAGAGACUCAGAGUGCCUUCUCCAUCCCAGUGUCCACACUCUCCUCCAGCUCUGAGCCCUCCCUCUCCUAGGAGCACAGGAAAUGGUGCAGGCUUUCUCUGCCCAGUCUGGGAUGAAACUAGAGUGGUCUCAGAAGUGCCUUCAGGACAAUAAGUGGAACUACAUUAGAGCUGGUCAGGUCUUCACUAUGCUCCAGACUGAGGGCAAGAUCCCAGUGGAGGCCUUCAAGCAAAUCCCCUAAAAGGAGCCCUUUGAUGUCAUCUUUGUCUUCCUUCUCAUCCUCUUUGUUUCCUCUUUUCACCAGCCUAAGACCACUCUAAGGACUGGGGUUGGAGGCCUGGCUGACCAAGAAGCCAAAGUUAACUUGCAGGCCACAGGACAUAGCCACCUGAAGAGCCAGUUGUUCUGUGUAUUUGCCCCACUCAUGAUCACCGUUUAUUUUCAUAAUAAACAGUGACGUUACAUGUUGUAUGUU
ensembl:lncRNA NXF5 nuclear RNA export factor 5